CUUGAUCUCUCUUUCCUCCUUUCUUCUCUACCCGAAGACCUGCUAUCCCUUGGCGAUCAACAUCUCCUAGCAGCUCCAACGUUUUUUCGGUCGCAUCAUGUUCCUGUUUGCCGCUGCCGCUCGUUGCUCACGCUCCAGCACUGGCAUCGAAGCUAGCCGUUGUCCGGGGCUAUGAAGUCGGAGCCCUUUUGCCCGCUCCUCUGCAGCUCCACUCGAAGUCUCCCAUGACCAUCCUUCUCUCUCUCUCUCUCUCUCUCUCUCUCUCUCUCUCUCUCUCCUGCAUGCUACCGCAACAACACUAAGCAUUUGCGCUUCGUCCGCUGCGCCUCGUCGUUCCUAUGAGUUCAACUCGAAGCUCCCAAGUCCCCUUGGGAACUCGCCUUCACUCUUCACCUUCGCAACUCGCCUCCUCCGUGACUCGCCUUUGCAACUUGCCUUCGAGACUUGCCUCUUUCCCCCGCGGUUUGAUAUCCCCAAGAUCAGGUUCUUUGAUACCCCUUUCUCCAAACCCUUAAAUCUCAAUUCUUCUCUUGCUCUCACUAUUCAACAAGACAACCCAAAACACACAAAACAGAUCUAAGCUCUCCCUAAGCUCGAAAGGUAGGAUACCUCAACAAUGAGGAAGCACUCAUCCCCCGAAUACGAUCAAACAGAUAAGUGUCAAUUUCUCACUCUUGUUUUGAUGUUCAUACUGCUAUGAUUUGUCCAAUGUUAGGUGAUGUUUGAAUUUGUAUGAGUUAAAAACGGGAGCCUGCACACGUAUUUGAUUCAAUGUUGCUUAGCAUGUUCAUUCCUUUGAUUAGGGUUUGGGGCAUAAGGAAGGAGAUGGGUUUACCUUGUCUCAAGUCGGGCGAGUGGGCAACGGGUCAACUCGCGUGCGAGUCAACCCAAUGAAUGGGGAGAACUUGGGUAGACCCAAGUGAGUCUUGUGCUAGCAGCUAUGUGUGGGAAUUGUUGAAUUAGAUGUAAUCUCAAGGGGGAGGUGAAUUGAGUAUUUUAAAAUUCUUUGAAUCUAUUUACCACUUAAUCUCUAUUUGUAUAUUUAGCAAUGAGUUCUUAUUAUCCAAUUAAUUGUGUAAUGUUAUUCAAUCUAUACAUGCAAGACGAAUAAUUUAAAUGUAGUGCUGAAAGUAAAGAGUAAAGGAAAGAGAGAAGGCAAAUGCGGUUUUUACGAGGUUCAGUUAACUCGGCCUACGUCCUCACCUUGAGCAACUACUCAAGAAUUUCACUAAAAUCUCUGCUCUUUAAAUUGGGAUGGAGUUUUCCUUACAAUUCGCUAUUUAUAAGAGCCCGAAGGUAGGAUCCGACAAUGGCUGGCCGACCACUGCUGAGUCAAAUAAGUCUGUAAGUACGAUGAGCCCGUCGCAUCCUGGUCUGGACUGCUAGGUGGAUGUCCACACUCUACUGAAAGCCACAUCGACUAUCCAUCUUCCAUCCCCUCGUGGGGUGCUUAGCACUAAUCUGAACAUAAAUAUCUGAUCUAUACAUAGCUACGAUACCAAACUCUAAGAUUAAACUAAAUUAACAUUCGGGUUCUGAUAA